GACGAACGCUGGCGGCGUGCUUAACACAUGCAAGUCGAACGGAAAGGCCCUGCUUUUGUGGGGUGCUCGAGUGGCGAACGGGUGAGUAACACGUGAGUAACCUGCCCUUUACUUUGGGAUAACUUCAGGAAACUGGGGCUAAUACCGGAUAGGAGCUCCUGCUGCAUGGUGGGUGUUGGAAAGUUUCGGCGGUUGGGGAUGGACUCGCGGCUUAUCAGCUUGUUGGUGGGGUAGUGGCUUACCAAGGCUUUGACGGGUAGCCGGCCUGAGAGGGUGACCGGGACAAUUGGGACUGGGGUACGGCCCAAACUCCUACGGGGGGCAGCAAGGGGGAAAAUUGAAAAAAGGGCGGAAACCUGAAGCAGGAACGCCGGGGGCGGGAUGAAGGCCUUCGGGGUGGAAACCGCUUUCGCCUGUGACGAAGCGUGAGUGACGGUAAAGGGUAAAGAAACACCGGCUAACUAAGUU
rnacentral:rRNA from 1 species